GUAGUGCUCCCUCCGUCCGGAAAGACUUGUCGUCAAAAUGAAUAAAAGGGGAUGUAUCUAAAUGUAUAUUAGUUCUAGAUACAUCUUUUUUAUCCAUUUUGAUGACAAGUAUUUUCGGAUGGAGGGAGUACUUG
rfam:Triticum urartu cultivar G1812 contig7972, whole genome shotgun sequence.